CCAAAAACGGAUAUUUAUAUCCUUCUUAGAUAAAUAAUACUACUUUAUUUGAUAGUAAUUAUUACUAAAGAUUAGGUUAAUUAUGGAUUAAAAAUAAAUACCAGUUAAUAACCUUACACAAUUACAGAAAUGUUAAUGUAGCCUAUACUUAAUACUAUGGUCAAUAUUGUGCCAGCAACCGCGGUCAUACUCUAAUAGUAAGUAAUACUAAUAUAAUAUUUCUAAUAGUGUAUGAUAUGAACUAGAGACUCUAUGGUAAAAUAUAAGUCUUAGGCAAAAUCAUUUAUCAUCUAGAUUAAAAAAUUAUGAAGAAAAACUAGGAUUAGAUACCCUACUAUUCAUAAUAUUCUUUUAGAUUUUUGAGGAGUAUUAAAAAAACUCAAAAAUAAUGGCGGCUUAUAAAACUCAUUAGGGGAGCUUACCUAAUAAAUGACAACCACCAAGAAUAAUGUACUUAGUCUUAUUAAGUUUGUAUGCCGUCGUCUUAAAUAUUCUUUUAGAGUAUUUUACUAAUUAUAUAUAAUUAAUAGACAGAUCUAGGUGCAGCCUAUAACUAAGUUAGGGCGAGCUACAAUAAUAAUUUAUUUACGAAUUAUCUGUUAUAUAAUACUUAUAAAGUUGGACUUAAACGUAAUCAAAUAAUAAAUAAGAAAUUAGAAUAUGAAUAAAAUUUUUAUAAGUGU
rnacentral:rRNA from 2 species